GGGAACUUGAAAUAACUGUGAUUGUUAUUGCAUUGCUUGCUUAAUACAACUCUAUUCCAAUAUAACUAGACAGGACUCAAUAUAUAGUGCACUUCUUAGCACACAAAAAGCCACAUUUCAGACCUAGUCUGAGUUGAUUCAGUGGUGAAAGUAUAUCACUCACUUAGCAAACUCAGGUUCUAGUUCUCACUUUCCAAAUUCUCCUAUUAAAAAAAAAAUCCACAUCCCAGGAAACAAUGACUAACAAUAAUACAAAAACAUAAACUAUAUGAAGCAACACAGAAAAAUAUUGGAUAUAUUAUUCAUUUUAUCGUGCCAUCCAUAACCGCUUUCUCCAUCUUCAGAGCUGGGCAAGCCGGCGGAUAUCAAUUGGGUAAGCGUCUGAUGCAGAUUGAGCUCUGUAAGAUCUCCUUCCAAGUAUGGUGUUCGCUGCUUCAGUUGGGUGAAAUGCAUCCCAAAACAAGUACUCGUUCCUAUUUGGGCAUGGGGUUUGCGCAGGUAGGCAUGUAACUUGACCAUUGUUCCUCCCCACACCACAGCACCCAGCAUUUGUAACCCUAAAACCAUAUCUUGCAGGAUUGCUUAUAAUAUCUUGAGAAAUACCAUAAACGUUGAUAUAGAUAAAUCUUGCAUUAGGUGUAUUGCCAUUGAAUUGAUCAACGAGAGAUCUGAGCUUGUUAUUGAAGAUCUGGUUGGCAGAGUUGAUUCUCUGAACACAAGUCCUGCCAUCUGGACUAUUUUGGGCCAAUUCACUUGGGCUGCACCCAAUUGGACCCAGUCCAAUCAACACAAAUUUCCUGGCUCCAUUGUUGUACAAAAUCCUAAGUUGUUGAGUAUACUGUUGGAUAAGAAUAUUAGCCCAUUGCUCUGGUGUAUAUUGCCUACUGGAUGAAUAGAACAGAGGCAUGAAAUAAUUAUUAAGGUAAUCAUUGCUCCCUAAUCCAAUGGAAAAUAUGCACUUGCUUAAAUAAUUUGCUGUUGCGUUCCGAUCUCCCAGCAAGUUCACCAUUUGAGACACUGUAUUUUGGUAGUUCCUUACUUGACCACUAAAAGAAACGCGACCUCCAAGUUGCUGUCCAGUUUCCUCUCUGAUUCCAGCGGCCGCCGAUGCGUAAUUUAACCCUCCGAGUAUGGCUCGACCCCUGGCGGUUGCAUAGGGAGGAAUGUAACCAUUGAAACCCAAGAGCUGAGAAAUGAUAUCAACGGUGGUUUUACCAUUGGAAAAUCUGCCAGUAGGUCCACGAGGGACGAAGUCAAUCCCAUAAGGCAAAUAAUCAGCUCUAGCUAAAGAUGAAAGUUGAUUAUUAUUCCCAUUAUCCACCAAUGAAUCCCCAAAAAUAAAGUAGCAAGGAACUUGUUGAGCUGAAGUAGCGUCAUGCAAGAACAAAAACUCCACACAGUACACCACCCACCACCAUUUCCAUUUGUUCACCACAAAACCCUCCAUCGAUCUCUCUCAACCCUAAACAAUGUUAUAUGAUCAAGAAAAUAGGAAGCUGUUGGUGAUGAAUGCGUAGUUCAAAUGGUAGAUAUAUAUAUAGAAGGAGAGGAAAAGAAGAAGAUGGAGGAAAUCAAAU
rnacentral:misc_RNA from 1 species